rnacentral:rRNA from 1 species
CCUACGGGAGGCAGCAGUGGGGAAUUUUGGACAAUGGGCGCAAGCCUGAUCCAGCAAUGCCGCGUGCAGGAUGAAGGCCUUCGGGUUGUAAACUGCUUUUGUACGGAACGAAACGGUUCGCUUUAAUACAGUGGGCUAAUGACGGUACCGUAAGAAUAAGCACCGGCUAACUACGUGCCAGCAGCCGCGGUAAUACGUAGGGUGCAAGCGUUAAUCGGAAUUACUGGGCGUAAAGCGUGCGCAGGCGGUUAUAUAAGACAGAUGUGAAAUCCCCGGGCUCAACCUGGGACCUGCAUUUGUGACUGUAUGGCUAGAGUACGGUAGAGGGGGAUGGAAUUCCGCGUGUAGCAGUGAAAUGCGUAGAUAUGCGGAGGAACACCGAUGGCGAAGGCAAUCCCCUGGACCUGUACUGACGCUCAUGCACGAAAGCGUGGGGAGCAAACAGGAUUAGAUACCCUGGUAGUCCACGCCCUAAACGAUGUCAACUGGUUGUUGGGUCUUCACUGACUCAGUAACGAAGCUAACGCGUGAAGUUGACCGCCUGGGGAGUACGGCCGCAAGGUUGAACUUAAAUGAAUUGACGG